rnacentral:lncRNA from 10 species
CAAAAAGGCCCUUAGAUCUUGGACUUCUCAGCCUCCAUAACUGUCAAAGGUAACUGAGUCCUGUCCACAGACUUUCAACCAAGCCCCUGUUUGAGCUUCAGCCUUUGCCAAGAUCAAAAAAGAAAAUAGUAAAAGGAUUACAGUAGAACAGACAACUUAGGAGCAACAAAUAAAUAAUAUAAAUGCUGGAAACUUUCAAAUUUGAACUUCGUAAUUGAGAUGUAAAAAUGUAUGAAAAUCUGAGAAAGAAUAUGACAUAUACGCAUGAAAAACACAGAAUGAGAGACACAGAGCACAGAUCUCAACCAGAGCCAAGCCUAAGCCAGAUAUGUCACAUUUAUGCUGCAUAUCUCAAGGCAGAAAUAUCUAUUUAUUGUUGUAAGCCUCGGAGGUUUGGAGGAAUGCUUCACUGCUGCAGCAAAAGUUGACUGGUGAAAAUGGAGACAGCAGAUUAUAAACCCCUUGAAAAAAGAAAGAAGCUGUGUCUAUGACAACUACAUAGCUGCUACGGAACCUGGCACAGUGCUAGCACACAGCAGGGGAUCAAUAAAUGUUGCUUGACUGACUAACAAAAAAGUGAACAUUAAAUGAAGACAGUCAGGUGAAAUUAAAUUCCUCCUUAUCCUUUUGGUGUUCGUUCUUAUUCUUUAUAAUUCUAUUCUCCCCACCCAGGCUCCCAGGUACUCUGAAUCCUCUUGCUACCUUUUCUCUGCUCCAGCCUUUCCCUUCCCCUCUUCCUAUCUCACUUCCCCUCUUCCUAUCUCACCUCCCCUCUUCCUAUCUCACCUGCUUGACAGUUUACCCACAUGAGCCUAUUCCUUCAGGAAGGUGAUGGGAGUAAGAACAGAACAGCUAAUCUUGUAAAAGAACUCCAACUCAGGAAACCAUCAUUUGAUGACAACUUCUAUUGAGUAACAUCCACCUUAGAGAGGUACCUAUUCUGAUGCUGGGUAGUAAAGGCCAGUAGAAGCCAGAUCUCAC